UACGGAGGGGGCUAGCGUUGUUCGGAAUUACUGGGCGUAAAGCGCACGUAGGUGGCUUUGUAAGUUAGAGGUGAAAGCCCGGGGCUCAACUCCGGAAUUGCCUUUAAGACUGCAUCGCUAGAACGUCGGAGAGGUAAGUGGAAUUCCGAGUGUAGAGGUGAAAUGCGUAGAGAUGUGGAGGAAUACCGAUGGCGAAGGCAGCCCCCUGGGAUAACACUGACGCUCAUGCACGAAAGCGUGGGGAGCAAACAGG
rnacentral:rRNA from 1 species